AGAUCCAAGGGCAGCCCUUGCAAGCUCACAGAGAGCAGGGCAGGGAUUGUUCUCUCGGUUUCCAAAAGAGAACCUGAACCGUGCAAAUUGCCUGCGGUUGCAAAAGAGUCUGUGAGCGAGCCAAGUGCUGAUUCCAGAGGCGGGCGAUAUUUCCGCCUCACAGCCCCUCUCCUUGCAGGCAUUUCCUCAGCACUGACCCUUCUGCAGGAGGUCUGGGGACCUGCCACACGUGCUGCACACUCCUCUCCACGUGUGCAGCGUGAGCCGUGAGCCUGAGCCACUGGAGAUGGAGCCUGUGCCACCGGCCACAACAGGGAGCAGCAACCCUUCACCCCCUUCUUACCUCCUUUCCAGCCCCAGUCUAUACAGGCUUGGGCAGAUUGCAAGAUAUGAUGUUUGUGGAUCCCUGCAAAAGGUGAUGUAAGUUUUUUGGCCCGUGUUCAAAACGAAGUGGCUUGUUCUGAUGGUGGAGGGGCGGAAAAAACUACCGGGAUUUAUCACGAUUAGACUGAACUUCCAUUAGCCUGUCCAGCAUUUUCAGCUUGACAACAGGCAUUUCUCAAAACAAAUGGAAGCAAAUUUCAGCAGCCUGGAAGAUGCACUGGUGCGUGUUUAAGGCCUCUAAACAAGGUCACCAACCUUUGAUGCUUAGUUUAGUAUCAGCUCAAGUGCUCAAUCCCAAGCUAUAUUUUAGGGCAAGUCCUGGUUGUGCCACAGAACAUGAUGUUGUACCAUGGGCACACUGGUUUCUUGCUUGUUGUUCUGCUUUGACAGAUAAAAUAUGUAUUGUUGUUGUUAUUAUUGCUUUAUUUUUAAGCUCACUUUUACAGGCUCAGCUCUGGAGAUGGGAUUGAGAUAAGUAAUUUUAACUUUGAUAAGCAGUCACUCCUCUGGAGCCAUUUCUUGAGCUGUGACUCUAAUCUGGGGACUCUUCCCUAAAGGAAUACUGUCCUUUUUUUAAAAAAAAGCCCUGUCAAGGAUUGGUGUGAAUGUGUGAGUAAUGGGCUCUGUAGCCACUGGUACCUGACCAGUGGCCAGGUAUGUGUAAUUCUGUUAGCUUGGGAGCUCUUCUCAUUGACUGACUUUACCCUAGCCACAACAGAAUUAUGAUUUUUGCAUGGUUACUGCAGGUUUUGUUUUGCUGAAUGAAGAGCAGAACCAGAGCUAGGAGAGAAGGGGACAAACCAUACCAACCAGAGUGAAAACCAGUCAGCAAAAGGAAAACAGCUUUGAUUAAUAUUUCAAGCAUUUUAGAACAUGAAAAGCCAAACAACAGGAUAGAAAAGCUGAUUAUGCAGAAAUGAAAGCCAAGCUACAUCUAAAGGUCAGAAGGCAAAUGUGCCUAUGUCAAGCACUACAUGCCUUUUGGUUCUUGAACCUGGCAGCUGGAGGAAAAUCAACAUUGCACAAAAACCAAUAAUCUCUGUAACGAAUCCUCUGUUUACUGGAAAAUGCUUAUGAGCACAAAAGAUGUACAACUAAGCCUGCUAUACCAUAUUUCUGUUACCAGCUCCUGAUGGAGAGGCCUGGGGCUAUCUGGUUGAGGGCUUUAAGUGACGGUUCAACAUUGUAACAGUGCAGAAAAUUAAAAUUUAAGAUUUUUGAAUUAAGAAGUUGGACUCCUCAGAAAGUUUAGCUCCCAAGAGGAUUUGUUAUCUGAGCUGGAAAAAAAGUGCACAGGAACCCACUGCUCUUCUGAACCCACCAACCACCUCCUUACUGCUGAUUUUGCAAGGUUUAACGUGUACUUGCUGCACAUCCACGUGGAAGCAGAAUUUGAACUCCUCUGGGUUUUUGGUGGUCUCUGAAGAAAUGCUCCAUAUUUGUGAAAGUGGGACACCAAAGGAACAAGGAGCAUCAGAAAACACAGCAAAAAUAC